CUUUAUCCCCUCAGUCCAACCAAUUUUCCAUUCCUUUUCUCUGUGACAGCAACUGUGGCAUGUUCUUUCCUUUCUUCCUUUCUCACUUCAUUGUCUCACCGAGAAAGCCAAGAGGAAUACCUGUUUGCCGUUUGGAUUAGGAAACAUUAAUAUAACUCACAUGCUGAGGCACAUGCUUUCUCUUUCUGGAUCCCUGUGAGGCAUGAACUCUGGCGACCCAGCUUGGCAAUUGGAAUUUCUGAAGCAAUGUAUCAUCAGCUGUCUUCAAAUCAUGGCAGCAUCCAAAUGCUCAAGCAUUUGCCUACUAAAGUAAGAGAAAUGUCCUUAGACCCAUUGAUACACCCUGACAUCACUCACCGGCAGUGCCUUUUCUGUGAGGUCAGAGAGAACAGUCAGUGUCCCAGGCUGAGCCUCUGGUUGUCACAGAACCAGGCAUAAUCAUAGCAGGUUUCUUUCAUCACCCUCAGCCAGAUGUUAGCCUCAGGAUCUCCAUUGUUUACUAAAUGUAGUAUCUUCUUAGUAUUAGUAAAAGAAAACUAUUUUUUAGAGCAGAUAUUAUAUAUUAGGCACAGGAUAUAAGAAAUGUGCUUAUGUUAAUACAUUAAUAUCAAUGACUUUUUGUUUUAGUCUGUUUUUGUAUUGUUAAAAAGGGAGACCUGAGGCUGAGUAAUUUACAAAGAAAGCAGGUUCAUUUAGCUCACAGCUCUAUAGGCUGUAUAGGAAUCAUGGUGCCAGAAUCUGCUUCUGGAGAGGGACUCAGGCUGCUUCCACUCAUGGCAGAUGGUAAAGGAGAGCCAGCAUGUACAGAGAUCACCUGGUGGGAAAAGAGGCGAGAGAAAGCUGAGAAGGUGUCAGACUCUUUUCAACAACCAGUUCUUGUGGGAACUAAGGGUGGGAACUCACUCACUUUCAUGAGAAUAAUACCAAGACAUUCUUGAGGGAUCUGCUCCCAUGAUCCAAACACCACCCCCCAGCCCCCACCUCCCACAAUGAGGAUCAAAUUUUAACCUAAGACUUGGUGGGGUCAAGCAAAUGAUAUUCAAACCAUAGCACAUUUGCAAGAAAAUAUGAUUACGAUUUUACAGAUAGAAAAACCAGAGCUCGGUGGUAUUAAUAGCUGAAUCAACCACACCACUCCCCAUUUUGAAUAUAGUUUCAUCUGUUGUUACCAUUUUUAAGGCUCCACCAUCCUCUCCAACAUUCCCUGGAAGCUUCAAAAUCCCAUUAACAAUUUUUAUUUCAACCUCAACCCCUAUAAUUAUCCUGAGACAUUUCAAUGCUUAGAAUUACCCCUCAUCUCAAUCAUUACAUCCCCUUAAACUCCUUAAAUCUAGCAAACUUUAUAUUCGCUCCUUGGAAAUUCACUAACUAUAUUGGCAUCUGGAUGUGCUCCACUUUAGAAUUUCACACUACUGUUUUAAUUUUGGCCAUGACCUUUCAUCCUGACCUUUCAUCCUGCUCAUUCUCUUUUCCUUCACUCACAUCCAUGUGCACACAACUGCAUCAUGCCCUCCAGCACCUCAACUCUUCUAUUGCUGUCUAGUCUUCCAGAUGGAUAAAUCAUCUCACUGCUUCAGCCUUCUCUCCAGAGACCUACCUCUGUAACUGCCCUUUGUUGAUCUCUGUCAACUUCUUUAUGCAUUAACACCUUUGCUGUUCCUGCUACAAAACCCUGGCCCUGUUUACCGGACGUUUGUUCCUACUCACCACUUCUGGAGAACAGAGACAUCCUAGUGAAAGUGACUAAACUGACCAGCCAGGCUCCAAUACAAACACGUGGUUUCCAAGUCUUUUGAAACUCAAAAUUAGAUUAUCUGGUUCUUUAUUUUGUAAAUCUAUGUUCUCUCUCAAUAUAUGCUUCCAAUUGGCAUAAGCAUGCUCCUGUUUCCCCCUUAAUAAAAUACCCACAAAAAUAUUGGAAUUCUAUAAUUUUUUCUAGUCCCUGUUAUUUGUCUCCUUUGCUUUGCAUCCAAAUUUCUCAACUGUUCAUACAUAUUUGAUGUACUUAUAUGUAUUCUGGAUUUCUCUCCCACUCUUUUGUUAAAACAACUUCUGAUUAUGUCACCUGUUGUUGAAUCCAGCAGGUGUUUUUAAUCUUCAUCUUAUGGCAUCUAUGGCAUUUUGUACCAUGAACUCCUUUAGUCACCCAUGAAACAGCACUCUACUGAAUGUCUUUCUAGCUUUCAGUCCUUUCCCUUGCCUCCUUUUUAGGCUCAUUCUAUUCCUCACUGUUAUUAAGUGUUGGAGUUCCUCAAUAUAAGGCCAUAUUGUAACUAUUUACUUUCUCCUAGCAAGCACAUCAAUACCUAUCUUUUCAAUUUCCCU
rnacentral:lncRNA from 10 species